rnacentral:rRNA from 1 species
GCAGUAGCCACGGUAAUACGUAGGUGGCAAGCGUUGUCCGGAAUUAUUGGGCGUAAAGGGCUCGCAGGCGGUUUCUUAAGUCUGAUGAGAAAGCCCCCGGCUCAACCGGGGAGGGUCAUUGGAAACUGGGAAACUUGAGUGCAGAAGAGGAGAGUGGAACCCCACGUGUAGCGGUGAAAUGCGUAGAGAUGUGGAGGAACACCAGUGGCGAAGGCGACUCUCUGGUCUGUAACUGACGCUGAGGAGCGAAAGCGUGGGGAGCGAACAGGAUUAGAUACCCCGGUAGUCCCUGUCUCUUAUCC